rnacentral:rRNA from 1 species
UGGGGAAUUUUGCACAAUGGGGGAAACCCUGAUGCAGCGACGCCGCGUGAUUUAGAAGGCCUUCGGGUUGUAAAAAUCUUUUGUAUGGGAAGAAAAUGACAGUACCAUACGAAUAAGGACCGGCUAAUUACGUGCCAGCAGCCGCGGUAAUACGUAGGUCCCGAGCGUUGUCCGGAUUUAUUGGGCGUAAAGCGAGCGCAGGCGGUUAGAAAAGUCUGAAGUGAAAGGCAGUGGCUCAACCAUUGUAGGCUUUGGAAACUGUUUAACUUGAGUGCAGAAGGGGAGAGUGGAAUUCCAUGUGUAGCGGUGAAAUGCGUAGAUAUAUGGAGGAACACCGGUGGCGAAAGCGGCUCUCUGGUCUGUAACUGACGCUGAGGCUCGAAAGCGUGGGGAGCGAACAGG